UGUGGGGGAUAACCAUUGGAAACGAUGGCUAAUACCGCAUGAUGCCUACGGGCCAAAGAGGGGGACCUUCGGGCCUCUCGCGUCAGGAUAUGCCUAGGUGGGAUUAGCUAGUUGGUGAGGUAAGGGCUCACCAAGGCGACGAUCCCUAGCUGGUCUGAGAGGAUGAUCAGCCACACUGGAACUGAGACACGGUCCAGACUCCUACGGGAGGCAGCAGUGGGGAAUAUUGCACAAUGGGCGCAAGCCUGAUGCAGCCAUGCCGCGUGUGUGAAGAAGGCCUUCGGGUUGUAAAGCACUUUCAGUCG
rnacentral:rRNA from 1 species